GUUGGUGUGGCAGAGCCCGGUAAUUGCAAAAGACCUAAGCCCUUUUAAUAGAGGUUCAAAUCCUCUCCCCAACU
rnacentral:tRNA from 1 species